UGGGGAAUCUUGCACAAUGGGGGCAACCCUGAUGCAGCGACGCAGCGUGAGCGAUGAAGGUUUUCGAAUCGUAAAGCUCUGUCCUAUGGGAAGAUAAUGACGGUACCAUAGGAGGAAGCCCCGGCUAACUACGUGCCAGCAGAAGCGGUAAUACGUAGGGGGCGAGCGUUGUCCGGAAUUACUGGGCGUGAAGGGUUCGCAGGCGGCAUGGCAAGUCCGAUGUAAAAGGCGAAGGCUCAACCUUCGUAAGCAUCGGAAACUGUCAAGCUUGAGUGAAGGAGAGGCAAGUGGAAUUCCUAGUGUAGCGGUGGAAUGCGUAGAUAUUAGGAGGAAUACCGGUGGCGAAGGCGACUUGCUGGACUUCAACUGACGCUGAGGAACGAAAGCGUGGGUAGCAAACAGU
rnacentral:rRNA from 1 species